GCUAGGCGACGGGAAACUGCUGGAAAUGGUUGCAGUAAUCUGUGAGCAAGCUUGCCGACUUGCCGAGCGUCUGCCUGCCAUCGGCCAGCUGUGCUGAGUCCUUCCAACCACAACAGAUUCAACCACGCAUGGUUUGAUUAUUCGUGGUUAUCGUGGAUAGUACACCUCAUCCCACAGUGCAUGUCCAAGCCAUCGGAGAUGUACUGGUACAUACGGAAGCUAGCAUGCCUUUCGCAGGGUCAACUUUUGAAGCAGUAAGAUACUUGGACUUCGG
rnacentral:lncRNA from 1 species